GGGCGAUUAACUCAGGGGCUAGAGUGCCUUCUUCACACGGAGGAAGUCGCUGGUUCAAAUCCAGCAUCGCCCA
rnacentral:tRNA from 1 species